UGGCUGUCUUCUAUGCACUUACUGUGU
rnacentral:piRNA from 2 species